rnacentral:lncRNA from 1 species
AAAGAGAAGCUUUGAAAAUUCAAACAGACCUUCAAAAUUCACUACGUUAAAGUCAAACAUAUAAAUAGACCUUUCAAGAAUCAAAACAAAAUUCUCAAAAAUUCCUUUCUCCUCCAGAUCCAACACCCACUUCUGUACUUCCUGGAGUCUCAAUUUUUUUAUUUUUUUCACUCAUCUCCAUUUUAUUUGCAGUAAGCCAGUAACAAUCACCUCUUUGCCUACUUAUUCUAGUGAUUUUAGUGGGUUUGUGUUUUUGUAGGUGUGCUUCAUGCUUCUUAAUGGGUUCUUUUUUGUUUUUAGGCUUGAGCAAAAAAAUCAAAAAAUUGAUUAAACCAAUCAAUCCGAACCGGUUUGGGUUGGUGCAACACAGGUAAUUGAUUUGGUUUGGUUUUCUUCUAAAUUUAGUCAUGGUUUGAAAUCUUGAAUCGUUUGUUAAUCAAACCAUCCCAGCACUUAUGUGUUUACCUUGCUUUUUUUUUUCUUUUUUUUUUAUAAGAAUAAUAAAAAUUAAAAUAUAAACUCUAAUUUCAUAAAUAUGAGUGAAUUACCCAAAUAAUCAUUGAAUUUUGCAAAAAGUUUUCAUGGGGUCACUGAACUUUAAAAAUUAUCAAAUUCAUUACUGAACUUUGCAAAAGGUUCAAAGGGGAUCACUGAACUUUAAAAAUCAUCAUAUUCAUCACUGAACUUUGUAAAAGGUUUUUCAGUGGUCACUAAAUUUAGUGACCAUUGGAAAAUCUUGUGUAAAAUUCAGUGAUGAAUUAUGUGAUUUUUAAAGUUCGGUAACCUCAUGGAAUCCUUCUGCAAAAAUUCAGUGAUGAAUUGAAUGAUUUUUAAAGUUGGGUGACCCCGUGAAAACCUUUUACAAAGUUCAGUGACCAUUUGGGUAAUUCACUCAAUAAAUAUGCAUUAAUUCCCUCCAAUUUAUGAUGUUAUUGGUAAGUAAUAGCACUGGAAAUGUUCUUUCACAAGCUUAUUAUGUUAUACUUACCAUUUUUUCCAUAUCCAGCCGAUUAUAUUACAUAAUACAUAAAAAAGCAAUAAAAUUUUUAAGUUUUCUGCUGAUCCAUCUCUAUUAAUAUGAUUUUAUUUGUUAAUCAAUAGUUUUUAUAAUAUAAAAUUAUUUGGUUAUUUUAGUUUUUGUAAUUUAAGUGCGUCUAAAACUCGGACAAUUUCUUUUAAAAAAUUUAAUUUGGACUAAAGAGCUAGAGUGGAUUGGUUUGGUUGAAAAUUUGGCCAAACCGACUAAUUUGGUUUUGAUUUUGGGUUGAAGUCGAAAUUGACCUAAACCAAACCACGUCCACACCUAUUUUUUUAAAUUGACAAUUUGGUUAGGUAAGUUCUGCAAUUACACAAGACAUCAUUUAUUCGUAAUUUCUUUGCAAUUUUCUUUGCAAUUAGAAAGUCAUUGAUUUGGUGGUGUAUUUGACUAAAAAUUAACAAAUUGUAAUUUACACCAUUUCUUUUUUUAAGAUGUUAUUGGGGAUGUAUGAUUACUGAGAACACAUAUUGAAAAGAUAUUCGCUGUGUAUUUGUUUAUUUUAAAUAUUUUAUUUAGUUUUUUUUUCAAAUUCGAUGAUUAUUUAAUUAUGUUAUUAUUAACUAUUUCACUUUUAAAUACUUGUGAUAUUGUAAAACUCAUAACACUGUAUCUAAAUUUCUAAAUUAUUUGGUUAGAUAUAGAUUUUCUCUAGCUGCCUUGAUAAAUUUUUCUCUCUCUCUCUUUUUUUUUUUUUGUUUUUUUGUUAUUAACUCUCUUGGUAAAUCGAAAAUAUUUCUAUACAAUGUAAGGCUAAAUCGUUAAUUUUUAAAAUUAUUUUUGUGAUCACUCCAUUUAAACAAAACAGAUAUUUCAAUUUAAGUAGUGCUAACUGCUACGUUGUCAAUUGGUGCUCAUCAAUGGUCUAUGUGACAAUUAGAUUCUAUACUUUACUAUCCAAUGAAGUUAUGAUAUAUUUUCAUUUUUUGGACUAUGACGCGAUGUCAUCUAGACUUGUAAUAGGGACCUGCAAAUAACAUCAUUUUUCCUUUUUUUUUUCCUUAUAUGUUCUGAAACUCUUUUACUUCCUCUAUACCAAUUAUUCAUUAUUGAAUGAGAAUUACAGAUUUUGUCAAAUUUUCAAUUAGUAUCUCCUUGUAUUGUUGCAUUCUUUCCCAAUUUUCUCAUUUCAAUCUCGAUUUUAUGACUUCUCAGAUAUGCACAAUGGUUAACAAAGCUGGCAUUGAAGCGGAGAAAAAAGAUGAUGCUUGGAAUGUUAUACAAGUUGAAGAUUGACCUCCACAUUCUCCUAAGAGACAAAAAUUGACAUCCAAGGUAUGGAAUCAUUUUGUAAAAUUUAAAGGGCCAAAAGGAAAUGAGGUUGCAUAGUGCAAGCAUUAUCGUAAAGAAUUUGUGGGAGAGAGUGGUAAAGGAACUAGCUACGAAAAGAAUCACUUGAAAAGAUGUGAUGGGAAAGAUAGUAGGGACAUUGGUCAACAAAUGCUAUCUAUUUCCAAAACUUCCUCAAAGGCUGCUGUCAUAGUUAAAAAUCAUAAGUUUAACCAAUGGAAAAUAAUGAUGGAUUUUGCUAAGAUCAUGCAUAAUUAUCCUUUCAAUAUGGCUGAACAUGAAUAUUUUGAGAUCUUUUAUAAUGGUUUGCAACCAAUGUUUAAGCAUGUGUCAAGAAAUACAGUGAGAUCUGAUGUACUUGAAGUUUACAAAAGUGAGAAAAGAAGAAGUUAUACAACCACUUGGAGAAACUUCCAGGUAGAAUCACUCUAACUAUUGAUCUUUGGACAUCUCAUCAUCAAGAUAUUGGUUAUAUAUGCUUGAUAUCUCGUUUUAUUAAUAAUGAUUAGGAAUUGAAAAAAAAAAAAUUGGUUAUAGAUGUAUUGAAUAUCCUCAUGAUGCAGAAACAAUUUUAAGAUACAUCACUGACAUGAUUUUGGAUUGGAAUUUGGAGAAAAAAUUGUUCGCCAUGGUGUUGACAAUGCUAUCAUCAAUGAUGCGAUGGUAAGAAGCUUGAAAAGAUAGCUUUGUGACAAGUCUGCAAUACAUUUGUAAGGUAAGAUAUUUCAUGUGAAUUGUAGUGCUCAUAUUGCAAGAUGGGUUAAAAGUAAUUGGAGAGUUUAUUCGUAAGGUUAGAGAAACUGUGAAGUAUUUGAAAAUAUUUCCAUAUGCAACACAGAAAUUUACUCAUGCAAAAAAUCAACUUAAGUUGAAAGAUAAGAAGAAAGUGAAGAUGGAUUCUUCUACUAGGUGCAUUCUAAACUUUAUCCAAGUGAUGAAGAAUGGAAAAUUCAUAAAGUUCUAUGUGAUUGCUUAAGAAUAUUUUAUGAUGCAACAACUCAUUUUUCUGAUUCUCAUUUUCCCACAUCAAAUGUAUUUUUUCUUGAUGUUUGUAAUAUUCAACUACAUUUAUCUAAGUGGCAAAGUAGUGAGCAUAGCUUUUUGUGUAUGAUGGCUGGCCUAAUGAAACUGAAGUUCGUUAAAUUUUGGGAGUGUUGUUUGGUAUUAGCAAUUGCUGUUGUUGUUUAUACAAGAUUUAAAAUGGAUUUAGUUGAAUAUUAUUAUGAUAAGCUCAAUGGUGUUGAUGCUCAUACAUAUGUUAAAGAGCUCGUAAGGCAAUAUUUUACCCUUUCAAUGAGUAUGAUGAUACUUCAUCUCAAUCUCAAGUGAAAGUGAAAGUAAGUCAAGAACUCGGUUCUAAUAGUGAUCAAGGAAUGGGGGCUUCUCUAGAUGACCAGUUGAGUGGGUUUGAUUCUUGGUCAACACAAUCUUGAUCUUUUAAUUUGUCAUGUUCUUCUAAAAAGUCAGAGUUAGAGAAGUCUUGGAUGACUCAUUAUUUCCAAAAACUGAAAAUUUUAAAGUUUUGAAUUGGUGAAAGUUUAAUAGUGCUAAAUUCCCUACCCUUGGAAAAAGUUACUCUUGACAUGAGUUGUUCCAGCAACAACUGUUGCAUAUGAGGCUGCAUUUAGUGUGGGAGGAAGAGCAAUUGAUGAUUUUCGUGCUUCAUUGCUUUUGAAAACUGUGGAGUCUUUGGUGAUUGACUUCCCUCUUUGAAAAAAAAAAAAAAAAAAAAAGUAUGAUGAUUAUUGAGUUUGAUUAUUAUUAUUAUUAUUAUUAUUUUGAGUAGCUAUAUAUUAUUAUUUAAUCCUCACAAGUACUUAAUUUGUCAUGUUCUUGUAGAACUUAACAUGAAUACAAGGCCCCCACAAAACCAAAAAUAAUGUUUCUUAAAGAUUGAAGCUCAUGUAAAUUUUACUUAUAAAUCUAUGUUUUUAACGUCUUGAAAUGAUAUUUUUUCUGUACGCCCUUUAUUCUUUAACAUCUUUUUUUGUAUGUGUAGUGGAAUGGUGGGUGAUAUGAUAUGGAGAAAGGGUCAAAACUUUUGAACUUGUGCUCUUUUUUUUUUCUUUUUUUUUUUAAUGCUUUCUCCAAAACAUUUGUUGGAUAUGUAUUCAG